rnacentral:rRNA from 1 species
GACGAACGCUGGCGGCGUGCUUAACACAUGCAAGUCGAACGGAAAGGCCCUGCUUUUGUGGGGUGCUCGAGUGGCGAACGGGUGAGUAACACGUGAGUAACCUGCCCUUGACUUUGGGAUAACUUCAGGAAACUGGGGCUAAUACCGGAUAGGAGCUCCUGCUGCAUGGUGGGGGUUGGAAAGUUUCGGCGGUUGGGGAUGGACUCGCGGCUUAUCAGCUUGUUGGUGGGGUAGUGGCUUACCAAGGCUUUGACGGGUAGCCGGCCUGAGAGGGUGACCGGCCACAUUGGGACGGGGAUAUGGCCCAGACUCCUACGGGAGGCAGCAGUGGGGAAUAUUGCACAAUGGGCGGAAGCCUGAUGCAGCAACGCCGCGUGCGGGAUGACGGCCUUCGGGUUGUAAACCGCUUUCGCCUGUGACGAAGCGUGAGUGACGGUAAUGGGUAAAGAAGCACCGGCUAACUACGUG